rnacentral:misc_RNA from 1 species
AAUAUGAAGGCGCCGCACGGUACGAUAAUUCGCUGAACUGUUGAGAACUGAAUUGUUCUCAGAAUAGAAUUAAGCUGAAGUAUAGCGUAGUAUAAUUAUUCAAUCAAGACAAUUAAAAACAUCAGUUUGUAGUGGAUCCAUCCCAAGGCGUGUCAAUUACUUAAACAUUCCCUCGCAUUCAUGGAGGCAACAUCACUCGAAAAUAGCUUGAGAGGAAACAUUGUAUUCGGAAAUGAUUUUGAAGCAGAGAAAUUUUUUUUAUUAUCAAUAAACAAUGGGCUUGAAUUCUCGACGAUUUCACCACAUUUGUGUCAUCCUAACAUUUGGAAUCUGUGGAUGCCUACGAUGUGACGAAAUAACAAACAUAAAGGUCGAAGAUGUGGAAGACCUAACCGAUAAAUAUCUGGUAUCCAUCAACUACAACAAAAAUGAUUACGCUGGACAAUUCAUCAUUGGGAGUCUUUUCUACGACACGUGCCAACAUGCAAAUGGUGAAGCAGUUAGGAAGAUGGCGUCCAGACAUAAUCGCGCAGGGUUACAUAGAAACUUCUGUGCCUAAUAGAGAGAUGAUAUAUAAUGGUGUAAUUCAAAAAAAUGCAAUAACAGACAUCCAUUCGAAGCCAUCUACUAGCACGCAGAGAAAAAUCAAACCUGAGAAUGCUGAUUCGGAUCACCAUAUUAAUUGGUCGGAUUUUGAUGAAGUCUUUGCUGUUAAUGACGUUGAUUCCACUCCAAGUGAAGUUGUGAAAAGUAGCUUUACCGCAGUAAGAAAAAAUCCGAUAUUUAUCCCAAUUACACAUAGGAAUAAACCAGGUAUUGGCAAAAAAAACUUAUUUUUUAAUAAACCUAGAAUAAAAUUACCGUUUAAAAACGUAACAGUUCAGUCACCUACAUGUAAGAGAAAGAAAAACAACGAAGAUUCGGACGACAAAAAUCACAAUCAUCGAAAUUCAGUUCUCAAAGAUGGUUUAAAAUUUUCCAAUUGUACUUUUAACAAUUGUAUAUUCAACAUCACAUUAUGUAAUUGCAAUAAAGAAAAAAAGUCAUAAGAUCAGAAAAAAAUUUGUAAUAUUGAUUAUGUAUUUGCACUAAUAAAAUAUGGUGCUGCUAU